AUUGAACGCUGGCGGCAGGCCUAACACAUGCAAGUCGAACGGUAACAGGAAGCAGCUUGCUGCUUCGCUGACGAGUGGCGGACGGGUGAGUAAUGUCUGGGAAACUGCCUGAUGGAGGGGGAUAACUACUGGAAACGGUAGCUAAUACCGCAUAACGUCGCAAGACCAAAGAGGGGGACCUUCGGGCCUCUUGCCAUCAGAUGUGCCCAGAUGGGAGUAGCUAGUAGGUGGGGUAACGGCUCACCUAGGCGACGAUCCCUAGCUGGUCUGAGAGGAUGACCAGCCACACUGGAACUGAGACACGGUCCAGACUCCUACGGGAGGCAGCAGUGGGGAAUAUUGCACAAUGGGCGCAAGCCUGAUGCAGCCAUGCCGCGUGUAUGAAGAAGGCCUUCGGGUUGUAAAGUACUUUCAGCGGGGAGGAAGGCGAUGUGGUUAAUAACCGCGUCGAUUGACGUUACCCGCAGAAGAAGCACCGGCUAACUCCGUGCCAGCCGCCGCCGUAA
rnacentral:rRNA from 1 species